rnacentral:rRNA from 1 species
UACGUAGGGGGCGAGCGUUAUCCGGAUUCACUGGGUGUAAAGGGAGCGUAGACGGCCAUGCAAGCCAGGGGUGAAAGGCAGGGGCUUAACCCCUGAACUGCUUUGGAAACUGCCAUGCUAGAGUGCUGGAGAGGUAAGUGGAAUUCCUAGUGUAGCGGUGAAAUGCGUAGAUAUUAGGAGGAACACCAGUGGCGAAGGCGGCUUACUGGACAGUAACUGACGUUGAGGCUCGAAAGCGUGGGGAGCAAACAGG